GCCAGGUGUAGUGGUGCACACCUGUAAUCCCAGCAGUUUGGGAGGCUGAGGUAGGAGGAUCACAAGUUCAAAGCUAGCCUCAACAACAGCGAGGCACUUAGCAACUCACUGAGACUCUGUCUCUA
rnacentral:sRNA from 1 species